AUUUACUUAUUGUUCGCCAUCUAAUCAAAUCACACCAACAAAUGAACAACUCAAGUAAAAUAUACUCAGUACAGCAAGAUAAUUGAUGCGCAUGCGUAUUUGACUUCGAGUCUGAAGUGGCGCGGACAGAAGAAAGGAAGGGAGACUUCAGGACGGCUAAUUUGAAUUUUACCACGAUAUUUCACCCACUAUUCAAGCUAAUGCAAGAUAAAAAAUUAUUUCAGAAGAAUCACCACAAUUUCCUUGGAGCGUACAUUCUUGUAAAAGCUGGACUUCUAUACCCCAAAACUCCUGGCUUUGUUUGAGAUGAGGGGUGGGGUUUCUGGCAUAAGAAUUAAACAUUUGCUGGAUUCACUGAGCUAGCAAGAAGAUAGCCUUGAAGAUAGGUGAGAAGUUGUGAUUCGCUGCCUCCUAUCUUUCCUGGGAGAAUCAGCUAAGGAGCUCAUUGAAGACCACCAGGAUAUCAGCAGAGACAUGAUUAAGGAUACCUUAUUCAGUCAUGUCUUUAAAAUCAUCGUACUGAGCAGAUCUGUGGAAGAAGAUGCCAGUAUGUCUGAUGUCAUCAUUGUCAUUGAGGGAACUGAGGUGCUGCUGGGAUGUAAGAAUCUCACAAAUACAUGUCUUUCACUCACAGGCUGCAUUUACUCCCUAAACUUAAGCUGUCCCCCAAAGCUGAGAAACACAUUUGAAGUGUUUCAGAAAAUUUUUCUUGGGUUAGAUGCUUUUUAAAUUUUCUCCAAAGGUUAACUCUGCAUUGAAAGCACUUGCACUUAUUGUACUGUUUUUUUUUUUUUUUUUGAUUG